AGACAGCCAAGUCCCUCCUCCCCUCCCGCAGGCAGCCUGUGCCUUUUCUCCAAACCCAGACAAGCACUUUGAAAAUUCUUUCAAUGGAUUUUUUUUCCUUGAAAGAUCGUACUGGGGGAAAAUGAUACUUCUAUUAGUUACAUAUUCUCCAAUCCCACACUCGCACCCCCCUCGUGUUGAGAUCGCUCCCCUAGGCAGGCUCAGGCGGGCGCGGAGAGGCGCGGAGUGACAAAGCCGCCGCCGCCGCCGCCGCCGUCACCGGAGUGGGAGUCGCUCUCGUCCGCCCACCCCUCGACUCUGGAAAGCGUAAAAGUUUGGCUCUGCUCGUGCGUCCCGAGCUCCAUCACGCCCUCAGACAGGGAUUGAGGAACGGAAAUACCACCACCUUCCAGCCAAACUGUUAUGAGGACUGAUUACAGUGAAUUGACGCUCCAGAUGUUGCAUUAGAGACGCUGCAAGUGUGAGCAGGUGGCAAUGGAGUUGUAUUGCAGGUAGUGGCUGAUGUCUUCUCUCAGUAGUUCUGUUGAAACUUGUUGCUCUCUACCUGCAAGAGAAACCCUGAAAUCUCACCUCUGUGGUUGCUGCUGUGUCCUGCACUCAUCUUGCAGAUGGAGUUGAGCUUGAAUUAUUGUUAAUCAAGGAAUAUUGGGAAGAUAACUGGCCAUGUCGGCAAGGCCAUUCUCCCUGUGGAAAACAACUGGGCA